AAAUGUGUCAUACAAAUGAAAAAUAUCAAUGAAUGGGCAUCGUUUCGUGUACUAAGUAUGUACAUAUGUACAUAUGUGAAUACGCGUCGGUUUCGGUUCGUUUUGACUUAUGCGUAUAUCGGUAUAACCUAUGGUAGUGCGCGGAAGAUGUAGAAGCGUAUAAGUAACUAAAAAAAGAAAAAUCAAAUAAAAAUGAAUGAGUGGUAAAAGUGUGAAGUGCGGUUAUCGUUGUAUGCGUUCGUCCAUCGUUGUAAACUUUAAGCUCCAUGAACACUCUGCAAUGAAUUGAUCACAAUAUCAUCCCCAAAGGCGGAUAAUCUUUAUUUCCACAAGCGAAAAAUGCGUGCAGUAAUGGAAAAAUUCUUUGGCACAACAAAUUAUCUUCUAACCAUGUAAUCACUCAAGGCGAGAUACAUCAAUACCUCUGUGUAGCUUUGCUUGGAGAUCAGUAGUAAUGUUCUAAUGUAAUAAAAGUUUAAUGCAUCGAUAAAGUGGAAAUUCGCAAUUUUUCCUUGCCACCGUCAGCCCGCCUCGGCGCCGCUCGUCAAGUUUUCGCCUGGAAACAAAAGAAUCUGCAAUACUUACGCUUAAUGUUCGGGGAUAACGAGUAGCAUAAAAAAUGUCGGAUUUCAAGUUGGAGCAGCAAAGAUUUAUUCAUGGACGAGUGAUGAAGUACAACGGUUGCGGCUGACUGCGAAAUUAUCUACGUGCGCGGAGUGGAUGGGGCAGACCUCAGUGGUAGCGGUAAAUAGUGUAACAGACGAGGCUGGAUAAUUUCUGAAAGUAACAAAAAGAAAUCAAACUGGCAUGAAGCACUUUGGAAGCAAAAGUUAUUUCAACAAAUCUGGAAGGAAAAAUUAUUUACGACGAACUGAAGUUGGGAUGAGGAGUGGAAUGGACAAUAGGUAACAGACGACGCUGGAUAAUUUCUGAAAGUAACAGAAAGAAAUCAAACUGGCAUGAAGCACUUUGGAAGCAAAAGUUAUUUUAACAAAACUGGAAGGAAAAAUUAUUUAUGACGAGCUGAAGUUGGGAUGAGGAGUGGAAUGGACAAUAGGUAACAGACGAGGCUGGAUAAUUUCUGAAAGUAACAAAAAGAAAUCAAACUGACAUGAAGCACAUUGGGAGGAAAAGUUAAAUUAACAAAACUGGAAGGAAAAAUUAUUUACAACGAGCUGAAGUUGGGAAGAAAAGUGGAAUGGACAAUAGGUAACAGACGAGGCUGGAUAAUUUCUGAAAGUAACAAAAAGAAAUCAAACUGGCAUGAAGCACUUUGGAAGCAAAAGUUAUUUUAACAAAACUGGAAGGAAAAAUUAUUUACAACGAGCUGAAGUUGGGAAGAGGAGUGGAAUGGACAAUAGUAACAGACUCGAGUAGAUAAUUUCUGAAACCCAAAAAGAAAUCAUGUUGAAAUGAAACUCAUUGGAAGCAAAGAUAUAAUAACAAAACUGAAAGGAAAAAUUGUGUAUGUGCUAUCUGAAGUCAGGAUGAGAGGCGUUGUUGAAUUUUUAAAAGUUGCGGGCUUUAGCUCGAUUUCCAGCAAAACUACAUGUCCUAUAUGAAAAAGUUAUAUGUCAAAAUUGUAGUUAAUGAGAAGAUCUACAACUUUGGUAUGAACAUCUUUUAAGGAUAACAUCACAAUUUAUGUGAAAAUGCAAAUACUCCAGUUUUUGGGUGUUUUAUUUUUUUCUGGCGCAAAUUUCAUUCUUUCAGAUAGUUGAAAGUGAAGGCAAGGAUGCUGCAGUAGUUCUCCCACGAAUGGGGGUCUAAGUAAACCGAACGAACUGGGAUUUUUAUUCGACCAAGAACGGUCAACUCGGCAGCAUGCUUCGAAUUGCUUCAGCGUGCCUCGAAUUACUUCAGCAAACUUUUCUGAUGUUACACAGCAGCAACUAUUUCUGCUUAUUCAAGGAUACAAAUAAGUAUAUAGCACCGCUUCCACGACAGUUGGCUCUACAUAAUCGGAAGGGACCUGGAUUUUUAUCAUUUUUCUCCGGCCAAUGUCAUCAGCAUGCCUCCAAAUCAGUGCAAUGAUGUUUUUUGCUGCUACAGAUACAAGUUUUUUCUCUAAUCCGCUGCCCUGGUGUACUGCAAACCGAAAUACUUACCAAUAGAUAUAUUUUUAGACUGCUAUUUCUUACAUUUUAACUAUUAUGAACAUAUAAUUACAGUAAAUUCUCAAUAAAAAUAAAAAUAUAUAUAGCUGAAAGCCUAAAA